rnacentral:rRNA from 1 species
UGCCGCGUGCAGGAUGACGGUCCUAUGGAUUGUAAACUGCUUUUGUACGAAAAGAAACACUCCAACGUGUUGGAGCUUGACGGGAUCGUAAGAAUAAGGAUCGGCUAACUCCGUGCCAGCAGCCGCGGUAAUACGGAGGAUCCAAGCGUUAUCCGGAAUCAUUGGGUUUAAAGGGUCCGUAGGCGGUUUAGUAAGUCAGUGGUGAAAGCCCAUCGCUCAACGGUGGAACGGCCAUUGAUACUGCUAAACUUGAAUUAUUAGGAAGUAACUAGAAUAUGUAGUGUAGCGGUGAAAUGCUUAGAGAUUACAUGGAAUACCAAUUGCGAAGGCAGGUUACUACUAAUGGAUUGACGCUGAUGGACGAAAGCGUGGGUAGCGAACAGGAUUAGAUACCCUGGUAGUCCACGCCGUAAACGAUGGAUACUAGCUGUUGGGAGCAAUCUCAGUGGCUAAGCGAAAGUGAUAAGUAUCCCACCUGGGGAGUACGUUCGCAAGAAUGAAACUCAAAGGAAUUGACGGGGGCCCGCACAAGCGGUGGAGCAUGUGGUUUAAUUCGAUGAUACGCGAGGAACCUUACCAAGGCUUAAAUGUAGUUUGACCGAUUUGGAAACAGAUCUUUCG